rnacentral:tRNA from 13 species
GGCGGAUGUAGCCAAGUGGAUCAGGGCAGU